rnacentral:tRNA from 1 species
CACUAAGAAGCUAUUGGAAGCAACAGCCUUUUAAGCUGCAGAUAGGUGGCCCUCAACCACCCUUAGUGA